rnacentral:lncRNA from 1 species
CGAUUGGUUAAUCGACGGCGACGUGGGAGGGGAGGGUGGGGCUGAAUCGCUCAUUCGUCUUGUAGUAACGUUGUACGUUGGCGACCGCGGAGGUCUGCCUUGCGACGGGUUCCGAACUAAAAUGCCCUGGAAAAAAUAGAAUAUAUAUAUUAGGUUUAUAAUAUAUAUUAGGAAUAUAUAUUGGUUGAGAGGAGUACAAUUAUUUCAUUAAUUGUACUGCAGUACAAUUAAUGAUUUUCCCAAAACAAACAAAAUGGCGUAAACGUAUUUAAACACAAAUGAGAUUGCCCUAGAAGAACUUAAAGCGAAAAAACUAAAUGAAAAUACGAACAAAAGCACCAAAUUUUGGUUGAAAGUCUGUCAGGACUGGCUUUGGCGAGAGAAAAUGAUGUUGACAUUGAGUAUUAUCCAAUUUUGUCAUGCUAAUAAU